rnacentral:lncRNA from 1 species
AACCGUCUUCCUGUCUGGGGCGAGUCCCCCCAUCACACACGUUGGGUCUCUGGCUCUUCCUCCAGGCUGCCGCACCGGAUUUGCUAACCUCGGUGUGCGCAGGUUCACCGCCUUCUCUCCCCUGCCCACCCGCACACCCUGUUUCAGAAGAGAAUGCACUGAUAAACUUUACUCACAGAUGCCGUUCCUUGCUGAGUGCAAGGCUUGGAAGCAUCCUUGAGGUUAAACGGAACCGAGAGGCAGUGAUUCAGGACCAGACCUCUCGUCAUCCUGCUAUGCUGCUCUGAUGCCUACAUAGUCCCGUGCCAAUCCCUCUCGUUGAUGUGACUAAUUUAACAGGUGUAUAAGGGAACUCCACUGAACA